rnacentral:rRNA from 1 species
UUGAACGCUGGCGGCAGGCCUAACACAUGCAAGUCGAACGGUAACAGGAAGAAGCUUGCUUCUUUGCUGACGCGUGGCGGACGGGUGAGUAAUGCCUGGGAAACUGCCUGAUGGAGGGGGAUAACUACUGGAAACGGUAGCUAAUACCGCAUAACGUCGCAAGACCAAAAAGGGGGACCUUCGGGCCUCUUGCCAUCGGAUGUGCCCAGAUGGGAUUAGCUAGUAGGUGGGGUAACGGCUCACCUAGGCGACGAUCCCUAGCUGGUCUGAGAGGAUGACCAGCCACACUGGAACUGAGACACGGUCCAGACUCCUACGGGAGGCAGCAGUGGGGAAUAUUGCACAAUGGGCGCAAGCCUGAUGCAGCCAUGCCGCGUGUAUGAAGAAGGCCUUCGGGUUGUAAAGUACUUUCAGCGGGGAGGAAGGGAGUAAAGUUAAUACCUUUGCUCAUUGACGUUACCCGCAGAAGAAGCACCGGCUAACUCCGUG